GCCGGGCGAGGUGCUGCACACCUGUAAUCCCAGCAGCCUGGGAGGCUGAGACAGGAGGAUCAUGAGUUCAAAGCCAGCCUCAGUAAAAAGUGAGGUGCUAAACAACUCAGUGAGACCUUAUCUCUA
rnacentral:sRNA from 1 species